CCCUUAGAUGUCCUGGGCGCACGCGCGUUACACUGAUGCAUUCAACGAGCUUAUAACCUUGGCCGAGAGGCCUGGGCAAUCUUGUUAACGUGCAUCGUGAUAGGGAUAGAUUAUUGAAAUUAUUAAUCUUGAACGAGGAAUUCCUAGUAAACGCAGAUCAUCAAUCUGCAUUGAUUACGUCCCUGCCCUUUGUACACACCGCCCGUCGCACCUACCGAUUGGAUGGUCCGGUGAAGCCUCGGGAUUGUGGUUCUUGCCGCUUUAUUGUGGCGUGACCGCGAGAACUUGUCUAAACCUUAUCAUCUAGAGGAAGGUGAAGUCGUAACA
rnacentral:rRNA from 1 species